rnacentral:rRNA from 1 species
GCAGUAGCCGCGGGAAAACAGAGGGUGCGAGCGUUAAUCGGAUUUACUGGGCGUAAAGCGUGCGUAGGCGGCUAAUUGAGUCGGAUGUGAAAUCCCCGAGCUUAACUUGGGAAUUGCAUUCGAUACUGGUUAGCUAGAGUGUGGGAGAGGAUGGUAGAAUUCCAGGUGUAGCGGUGAAAUGCGUAGAGAUCGGGAGGAACAUCAGUGGCGAAGGCGGCCAUCUGGGACAACACUGACGCUGAGGCACGAAAGCGUGGGGAGCAAACAGGAUUAGAUACCCCAGUAGUCCCUGUCUCUUAUAC